AAUUCCAAACGUCACUUUUUGACGGGAAAAUUUUUCGCGACCUUUGUUCGGCUAAAUACUUUUGGAAAUAGUUUGGGCUUGGGCCUUGGGCCCGAGAAUAGCGUAAGGUUAGAGUCCAAAAUUUACUCUGGACACCCAACCGACGGGUAUGCUAGUGAACCUAGCCCAAUAAGUUAGUCAACCUUUGACCCAAACCUCUUCCUUGAUCCAACAUGGUUGUAGCUCAUAAUGACAUCUUUGCAUAAUUUUGAAAUAUACUCGUGCGUGCGUUUACGAUUUUCUUAUUUUACCUUUCUUAAUAAUUGGAGAAAUUUCUGCUCGCCUUACCCGAAACUUACUCGUCAAGCAUCUCACCGACUUUCAAAAGCACAAUUUAUUUACUCCUUAUGUUUUUCAAACUCGAGCAAAACUCCGACAAAAACUUGCUUGCCAUUUCUCUAUCUAAAAAUAAGUUUUGUGAGACCCGAUCCUUAUUUGGCAUUGUCAACAUUUUAAUUUGAGUUUUCUUGUAUUUACUUAUUUUACAUUUAUUUUCCCCAUCAUUUUGGGUUUUUACCACCUUAUUCUUUUACCCCAAAUUUAUCUGCCCAAAGCUGAGCCUUCUCCUUCACACGCAAAACUCAGCUUUUCCUCUUUCCUUGUUCACGUCAGAGUUGGACAGAGAGAAAGGGAGCCUCGUUCAGCUCUUCCCCUCCACGUUUCCAUCAUGCAAAGGGCAACUCCUCCAAGAACAUCAUCUCAGACCUUCAAAAGAGAGAACCCAGGCCAUAAAUCGUCAUUCACCCUUCUCUUCUCACCUUUCCUCUCGUCCCUGGACACAUCAGUCCGUUUACGAGCCUCGAAACACCUAGUUCGAGAUCUCCGAUCAGAAAACGUUCUUCAUCAAAGUUGUUCGCCUAUGUCUCCUCUAUCUAGCCUCCAAAUUUCAGCUCCAUCGGAAUUGAUUUGAGACCUGUACACCCCUCGAAGCGGAAGCUGUUCCGGAGCAAGCCUGUUCUGGAUUUCUGCUUAAACUUCCUCUCUUGCUCUACCCGAAUCCCCAACACCUUGCUUGAGACUGAUACCAACAGUUGUCUCUGUUUCACUUUGCAUGUUCGAGAUUGAGCAAACUUCUUGGCCUGUGGCUGGACUCGAUCCAAUCAGCUCCUUCAGCUCUCUUUCCUGUUGAAAUCCUCAAGAGAAGCUCAUCUUUUUUUUGUUUGUUAGUUUUUGGAUCUUGUGAAGUGGUGGUUGCUACAAGGUUGCAUUGAGGCCAAGUGCUGCAAGAGAAAGCUCGAGUUCCAGGUAGGGGAUGCCUUUAACUCUAUCUAUGCUUUUCUUGCAUAUACAAUGUUUUAUAUGAGGCCUCUUGCAUGGUUUUUGGAAAUUAUCUGUUUUACAAUUGAAAUGGUUUGCGUGGAUUGGAUUGAUGUGUUGGCAAUUGAUGGGGAUGUAAGGAGAGGUCAGUUCCUCCUUGAGCCACCGGUGGUGGGCAGUGUGCACCAUGCCCUUGUUAUCUCCCCUUUGUCUCUAGCCUUGUGAUUAAUGAAUUCCGGAAAGUGAUUGGCUAGAUGGACGGUUGUGAUGGAAGUGUGAAAGAUGAUCAAUUGCCGGGGGAUUGUAGUUACGUGGUGACGAUCACGUGGAAGCGCAAACCGGUUUUAUCUACUUCUUUUAUUCAAAACAAUAACUCAUGUUUUUAAACUUAGAUAUGGGGGCGGGCAUGGGCAAUGACUGGAUGUAGGGGAUGCCUUUAACUCUAUCUAUGCUUUUCUUGCAUAUACAAUGUUUUAUAUGAGGCCUCUUGCAUGGUUUUUGGAAAUUAUCUGUUUUACAAUUGAAAUGGUUUGCGUGGAUUGGAUUGAUGUGUUGGCAAUUGAUGGGGAUGUAAGGAGAGGUCAGUUCCUCCUUGAGCCACCGGUGGUGGGCAGUGUGCACCAUGCCCUUGUUAUCUCCCCUUUGUCUCUAGCCUUGUGAUUAAUGAAUUCCGGAAAGUGAUUGGCUAGAUGGACGGUUGUGAUGGAAGUGUGAAAGAUGAUCAAUUGCCGGGGGAUUGUAGUUACGUGGUGACGAUCACGUGGAAGCGCAAACCGGUUUUAUCUACUUCUUUUAUUCAAAACAAUAACUCAUGUUUUUAAACUUAGAUAUGGGGGCGGGCAUGGGCAAUGACUGGAUGUAGGAGCCUAACCCCUACUUUAGUUUGUUUUGCAGGCUGUUGUUGUUGAAGCUUGGGCACGGAGGUUAAUCCUUGGAGGACACAAUUUGUUUUACUCUAUUUAAAGUUUAUUUCCUUUCGGCUUGCUUGAUUUCACUAAAGUUUUGUAACAUUAUGUAUGGUUGAUGAUGUGUGUGCUUGCUUACCACCAAAGUGGAACCCUAGGGUUAGAACCUCCAUUUGAAUUUAGGUCCUAGUGGGCUAGACCUAGAAGACUCACAUAAAUUACCAUUUAAUGAACUUAAUGCAAACUUGGGGCUAAGAACUAAAAAUUGACAUAGGUUCUAAAACUCAACUCAACACCACCUUCCUUUCCUCUUAUUCGCCUAGUUCGUAAUCUUGUGAUUACGAGCCAAGCCCACUAUACAAGCCCAAGAAUUUCGGGCUUAUAGAUUUCUUGCUUUCCAACCUAAAGGCCUUGUCUCUUUGAGGAAUUCUAAGCCCAAAACACUUACUCCAAGUGUCGCGGGAGUAGGGUUCCUUGGGGAGGCGGCGCUGUGGUAAUCCGGUCUCCGGGUCGCCACAGGUAGGCUGCUGUCUUUAGUGCCGGUUGGGUCUUUUCAUGGGUAGACUCCUAUAGGUGGCAGGCUGCAAUCGCCCUCGUCACGAGGUGUCACCCUUGGAAGUUCUAAUGUGCCGCCAGCACGCGCCGAUGGGCAGGCUUCUAGCAGAUCGAGGGCUCCUCAUGGUGCAUCACAACUUCACAAGGGACCCGCCAGUCGACUCCCAUGAGAGGUUAGGCUCCUGCAUCGAGCGCGUCGCCGCGAGGGCAUGA